rnacentral:lncRNA from 1 species
CUGAUCUCACUUUCUGUGGAAGAUUUCAAACACUGGUCUCCAUUAAAUAUCAUUUUUAUUUUCUUUAGCUUUAGUGUCUUCUCACAGAUGCUAGGCUUCCAACUUCUCAGUUGCUAAUAAUACUAGAGUUAUCUAUAUAUUUUGCCCCUCUGUAUUUUUAUACAGAUCUCUUGAGAAGAAACUAAGAAAAAUGCCAUCUCUAAAGAAUUUUCUUCUCACUAUAGCUUUUUUCUGUUUUCAGGCAGCAAAAACACAUUACAAUGAUGAGACUUCUGUAAAAGAACAUGUUUUCCCCCUUGACAGAGCAAAUGAAGGGUUAACUUCAAGGAGGAACUGGCUGUUUUUCUUGACCAGAGAUGUGGAAUGCAUGCAGUCAUCAUGUAUGCUGUUCUCUGCAUCACUUUUACAAGCAUAAUGGGAGUUUGAUGUAUGUCUGGACCACCUAAAAUGGUGUCUCUCCUGUGGAAGAGGCUGGAAUAACCUGCUUCUAGGGGAUGGAAGAACCAGUGCAUUCAUGGAUAUUCGGCUCAAAACGUGAUUGGCAACAGCAAUUUUUUCACUAGGUACAUAGCCCACCCUAUCUGUAUCUUUAAAACUACCUGACACUGUAUCAGAGCUUUUUCUGGCUUUUGUAGCUGAGGGUGAAAGAUUCUUUCAUUCAAGCAGGUAACAACAGGUGAUAAAGGGAGAAGGAGCCCAGCUCUGACUUUGAAGAUGUGAGGAUUUAGAACCUGGUAGGACUAUUGCUAUGUAGGAACUGAAAUAAGCUCUGAAUCCAAUUCCCUUCCCUUUCCCAGUCACUGAGAAGAUGCCAGGGGAAUUAUGCCUCCAAGUUAUUAGGGAGAAAUGUUUUUAUGUUUGUUCUUGCUAUGUUUCUGAAGUAAAUAUCCCUUUGGAAAAGCUCAUCUGAUAUUAGGUGGUUAACUGAAAUUGGAGUACAAAUACUGGGCCCCCUAAAAAGGGAGAGAACAUCACUGAUGGUGGUUUGAGUCAGUGGUAGAGAAGAGAGACUUUACAACUCCUUCAGGAUACUGGAGAACCCUGGGGAUGGAG